CAUCAGAUGAGUUUAAAAUGCAUACAUUUUUUAUAGAGAACAUUCACACAC
ensembl:ncRNA Y76F7A.1 ncRNA